UUGGAGGGCAAGUCUGGUGCCAGCAGCCGCGGUAAUUCCAGCUCCAAUAGCGUAUAUUAAAGUUGUUGCAGUUAAAAAGCUCGUAGUUGAAUUUCGGGAUCAAUUUAUUGGUCGUGCUAUUGUACGUACUGGUAUUAUUGAUUCCUACCUUCUGACGAACCAUGAUGUCAUUAAUUUGGUGUCAUGGGGAAUCAGGACUGUUACUUUGAAAAAAUUAGAGUGUUUAAAGCAGGCUCACGCUUGAAUACAUUAGCAUGGAAUAACGAAAUAGGACGUUUGAUUCUAUUUUGUUGGUUUCUAGGAUCGACGUAAUGAUUAAUAGGGAUAGUUGGGGGCAUUAGUAUUCAAUUGUCAGAGGUGAAAUUCUUGGAUUUAUUGAAGACUAACUACUGCGAAAGCAUUUGCCAAGGAUGUUUUCAUUAAUCAAGAACGAAAGUUAGGGGAUCGAAGACGAUCAGAUACCGUCGUAGUCCUAACCAUAAACUAUGCCGACUAGGGAUCGGAUGAUGUUAAUUUUUUAAUGACUCGUUCGGCGCCUUACGGGAAAC
rnacentral:rRNA from 1 species